AUGUGUUACGUGUCUCCAACAUGACUCGGGGUGGCUUACCCGAGUAAGCAAAGGAUCUGCUGUGUCGCAAACCGGCCCGGAAAGGAAAUCCAGACAGUCUGCAUGUCUAGCUGCAAUAGAGAAAUGGACCUUAUGUGACGGAUAUCACUUUUGCAUAUGGAAGGAUGACAGCAUAGUUGAGGAGAUGGAACUGGGAAAUCGUGAGGGGAUGCCUGGCACCUGACCGCAUGACUGUUUGACACUGUCUCUAAAGAGCCACGUAUGAUGCCCACCAGACCUUUACGGUUACGGUACACUAAGUGCACACUGAACAGUUAUUCACAUCAAAGGAGACACCAGAGACCCUUUUGCCACAUAGAGCAGCACCGACAUCAAGCACCUUAUUUACAGCAGUGACGACAGGGGUUCAGUCUUUGAGGACACGUAUCACCAAUACCCUGCACUGCUUUGAACUGUGAACAGAUCUUUUAUUACGAACAUCUUCAUCAAGGUCAGGCAAACCUACUUGUAUUAUAAGGAACUGGUUUUUUGGGACAUUAUCAGAUCCCCCUUAUUUUGUAUCCAUAGACUAUCACAAUCCCUGUGCAAGGGACGUGGUGACGUUGGUUGCCGUUUUUGUACCUUUACUACAACAUUUAUUUAUUUUACCUAUUUAGGUAUUUUACAUGUAUCUGCACACUAUUUGAUUACUGAGGGAAGCUCUUUUUGUUCUUAGCUUGUUGUAAUUGUAGUGUAAGGUUAGGUGUUAGUGUAAGACAGGUUAGGUUUUAUUUUACAGGUAAGUUUGUAUUUAUUUUAACAAGGUAGUUAGUAAAUAGUUAAUAACUAUUUAUUAACUAUUCUACCUAGUUAAAAUAAAUACAAACUUAGCUGUGAAAUAAAAUUAAAACCUAAGCUAGCUACAAUGUAACUAUUAGUUAUAUUGUAGCUAGUUUAGGGUUUAUUUUAUAGAUAAGUAUUUAGUUUUAAAUAGGAAAUAUUUAGGUAUUAAUUGUAAUUUUUAUUUAGAUUUAUUUUAAUUAUGUUAAAUUUAGUGGGUGUUAGGGUUAGGGUUAGACUUAGGGUUAGGUUUAGGGGUUAAUAACUUUAGUAUAGUGGCGGCAAUUUUGGGGGCAGCAGAUUAGAGGUUAAUAAUAUUUAACUAGUGUUAGCGAUGCAGGAGUAUGGCAGUUUAGGGGUUAAUUUGUUUAUUAUAGAGGCGGCGAUGUCGGGAACAGCAGAUUAGGGGUUAAUAAUUUUAUUUUAGUGUUUGCGAUGCUGGAGGGCCUCGGUUUAGGGGUUAAUAGGUAGUUUAUGGGUGUUAGUGUACUUUUUAGCACUUUAGUUAUGAGUUUUAUGUUACGGCUUUGUAGCGUAAAACUCAUAACUACUGACUUUUAGUUUAGAGUACGGAUCUUGGCGGUAUAGGGUGUACUGCUCACUUUUUGGCUGGACAGGCAAACUCGUAUUACCGGCGCUAUGGAAGUCCCAUUGAAAAAGGACUUUUUGAAAGCUGCGGUAGUUACUUUGCGUUACGGCCAAAAAGACUCGUAAUACCAGCGGUAGUGAAAAUGCAGCAUUAUGAGGCUUUUUCAAUCAUAACACAAAACUUGUAAUCUAGCCGAUUGUCAGUUAAAGAGACAUCCCUUCCAAACUUGAAAUGCCCAUUAAGGCAUUUUAAUUUUGAUAGAAGCAAUUGUCCAAUACUACUUUAUUAGUUAAAAAACAAGCAAACAGUAAAAGCUAUCACUGUUGGGUGAUGUCUUGUUUCAAUAGAAGCAUUCUUGCUAAUUAAAAAAAAAAAUCCUCUGUUGAAAAUGUAAUAUUUUUUCUGGAAAGUCCUUGUAAGAAAGAAGGAGGGGUCUUCUGGUUAUAGGUUCUCAAAGCAUCUAGGGUUAGAUUUACUAACUGUUGUGUGGACAUGAUCUGCUAUAGCGAAUAAUGACAGCUCAACAUCGCUAAAUGCCGACAGCAUACACUGUCGGCAUUUAUCAUUGCACAAGAAUUUCUAGUGAAAUGCUUAUGCAAUGCCACCCCACCACGCUCACUGCUGGCCAAUCGGUCACUAGCAGGGGCUGUCACUCAUUCCGAUCGUAUCUGGAUGAUUUCAAUCUGCCACCUAAAAGGUGACUGCUGCUUCUUAACUUCCGUUUCAGGCGAGCCUGAAACGAUGGGCCUCCGAAAAAGCAUCCGCUUCUUAAUAAAUGGAGCUCAUAGCCUCUAACUUAUGUCAGUAAUAAGUGUUCUUACUGUUUAUCAUAUUACAACCUAAUAAAUAUAUUGGUGCAUAUGGAAUACAA